rnacentral:rRNA from 1 species
AUUGAACGCUGGCGGCAGGCCUAACACAUGCAAGUCGAGCGAGCGGCGGACGGGUGAGUAAUGUCUGGGAAACUGCCUGAUGGAGGGGGAUAACUCCUGGAAACGGUAGCUAAUACCGCAUACCAUCAGAUGUGCCCAUAUGGGCUUAUCUAGUGGGUGGGGUAACGGCUCACCUAGUCGACGAUCCCUCGCUGGUCUGAGAGGAUGACCAGCCACACUGGAACUGAGACACGGUCCAGACUCCUACGGGAGGCAGCAGUGGGGAAUAUUGCACAAUGGGCGCAAGCCUGAUACAGCCAGGCCGCGUGUGUGAAGAAGGCCUUAGGGUUGUAAAGCACUUUCAGCGGGGAGGCGUUACCCGCAGAAGAAGCACCGGCUAACUCCGUGCCAGCAGCCGCGGUAAUUC